UUGGUCGCCAGGUUCUGUCCAGGUUCUGUUGCCAUGUUCUCUCGCUAGGUUUUCCAGCCAGGUUCUGUCCAGGUUCUCCUGCCAUGUUCUGUCUAGGUUCUCCAGCCAAUUUCUGUAGCCAUGUUCUGUCCAGGAUCUUUUGCCAUGUUCUCUUGCUAGGUUCUGUCUCUAGGUUCUCUCACUAGGUUCUGUCUCUAGGUUCUUCAGCCAGGUUCUCUCACUAGGUUCUGUUUCUAGGUUCUGUCUCUAGGUUCUUCAGCCAGGUUCUCUCGCUAGGUUCUGUCUCUAGGUUCU